GACCUGGGGUCCCUGCUUCUCCAGGUGCUCCCGGAUUUUGCUCUCUAGCCUCCGGUUCUCGGUCUCCAGGCUCCUCACUCUGUCCAGAUGUGGGCCACCAGCCUUAAGCCAGAGGGAGCUUUGUAAGACAGGAACAUAUAAAAUGAUAAAAGCUUCUCUACGUACAGUUUUCCUGACUCUGAUUCUGCGUGGGACAACCAGUGAAAAUUGCAGGUGAAGAGAAGAAAUGCGUAUUUAUUCCUCCACUGGGAAAAAAAAUACCAUCCAAAGCUACAUGACUUGAGAGACAAGGUCUCACUAUGUUGCCCAGGCUGGCCUCGAACUCCCGGGCUUCAGCAGUCCUCCCGCCUCACCCUCCGAUGUAGCUAGGACUACAGGACCGCGACCCGGCGCUGCCUAAGAACUGUUUUUAAACGUGAAAGCCACGGCUAUCAUUUGCUUUUUGCUCUGCUCUUCAUCUUCUGGAUAAACCUCGUAACACACUGCUUGUUUUGGGUGGUAGUCUGCUGCCUACGCCCCGUCAGACAAGUGGCCUGAGUCCCCCGCAACCCCUGCAGGUCCGGCCGCCGGCGCCAAGCCUCAAGGCAUCCAAGCCAGGAACGAUCGCGGUCAGCUCUGCCACGGAACAUGUGCAAGACCCGGCAGCAGGUUCCGGGGGAGGCGAAUUGAUUUCACAACGGUCGAGAAGGAGGACCCCGCCCACUUCGUCAUUUCUCGGAAGCCCAGGGACUCGCCGGAAGAGCGGCUCAAAAGCCGGAAAACUGGCAAAUCCGAGUCUCCCGGCGCAUGCGCGGCGCAAUCGGCUUCGCGUGGUUGCAGUAGAGAGGAUCCCUCCGCCAGCCACUGCAUCCGGCGGCCGGAUCUAACUUACCCGCUAGCGUUUUACCCUUGCGCGGCCGUGGCGUAGGGCGGUCUUUUCCCUUGGUCCUCCGCGGCGCCGCCUCUUGUGACGUAAGCCGCAGAAUCCUCUGUCUUAGUUCGGCUCUAUUGCCGCGAGCUUGACUCUUCCUGGGUCUGAGGAAAAGUAAAAGUAAUUUUGUCAUUUCCUGAAACUUCAAGUUAAACCUUUAAGCUGUUCAUUUCCUAAAAGGGUGAAAACGCGGGCACCCCUCGAGCUAGUUCAUCGCCUUUUAACCUGUUGUUGGAUCUUUCCAGAUCACCACACCACAUCACCCAGCCACUCUGCCCAAUGGGAGGGCAGACAGUGUUCCAGUGUAGGAGGAAGGGGUGUAAGGUGCGGGCAGUUUGUGAGGAGGGCACCAACGAGAGCUACUGUGAGAAAGUCUGCAUGGUCAAAAAGUGGAUUACCAAGAACAAAGCAUCAUAAUGUUGUCCAGUGGACCCCAGAAAACUGACAACUGUUUAGAACAAAGCCAAAGAUGAAACCAAAUAUAAAACCACUGAUGAAAACUAAGUGAAAAAUAUAAGCAAAAUAGAAGAAAAAUAAGGUCGUUAUUUCAAGAAAACGAAAGACAGUCAAUGCUGUUCUUUGUAUUCACAUACAAUUUGGUUCACACCAAAAUGUGAGUUGUUCUCUAUGAGAUGUUAUUAAAUGUUCCUAAGAAGACUCGCUUUAGAAAAAAACAGUAUUCCUAAGGCAUGUCCAAUCUGUCUCUUUUCUUAAUUGCUAUAGUUCUACUUUAUUAUUAUAAUGUAUUCAGCAUUAAAAUUCAUUAUUUCCCAAUAAGCUUGACUUUAUCUUAUAAUGAAAUACAACUGUCUUCUUGGUGAUUUUUAUAGGAGAUAUUAUGGAAAUAUUUUAUUAACAGAAGUAAAUAAAGUGUCAUAUCAUUUGGCUUUUCAGCCGUGUUAUAACAUUUGCAUUUUGUUUUUUCUGCCUUUACCCUCCCUGCUUCUAGCUGCAUAAAAUAAUGCAUUUUAAAAAUAAAAAUACAUUAUUUUUCAACAUAUGUGUGACAAUAAAAAGAUCACUGGGUCAGGGGUCAGACGAUCUGAGUUCUGCCCUUUCAUUUUCUUAUCUGUAAAAAUGAUUCCUAAGAUUCCUUCUAUUACUAACAUUUUAUAAUCUACAUUCAAAUUUUAUGUGAAAGUUUAGUGCAUCCGAGAUAACUAUUUUCAAAUAAGAAUCUCUUUUGAUGCUAACAUCUAUGCAUCAAAUUCUUCAUUCUCAAGUUGUAAGUUGCUCUUUACAUAAUUUCACCUAUGUACAUAUAUUCUAUAGAAAAAAGAGACAUUCCAGUAUCUUAACAAUGUCAAAAAGGAUAUACUGACACUAACAUUAACUGGAGAUUGGAAGACUAGACAAAUCAAGGCUAGAACUACAUAAGGGAAGCUAUUCUCCCAAAUACGCUGUUUUUGCUGUUGUUUAACCAAAGAUAUCUUCCCUUUCAUUCUUCUUUUUUAAAGCUAAGGAUAUUUAAGACAUUAAUAUGUUUGGCUAACUGAUUAAUA
rnacentral:lncRNA from 1 species